UACGUAGGUGGCAAGCGUUGUCCGGAAUUAUUGGGCGUAAAGCGCGCGCAGGCGGUCCUUUAAGUCUGAUGUGAAAGCCCACGGCUCAACCGUGGAGGGUCAUUGGAAACUGGGGGACUUGAGUACAGAAGAGAAGAGUGGAAUUCCACGUGUAGCGGUGAAAUGCGUAGAGAUGUGGAGGAACACCAGUGGCGAAGGCGACUCUUUGGUCUGUAACUGACGCUGAGGCGCGAAAGCGUGGGGAGCAAGCAGG
rnacentral:rRNA from 1 species